rnacentral:rRNA from 1 species
UCUGGUGGUUGUAGCGCAGUGGUCCUACACCUUCCCAUACCGAACAGGAAUGUAAAACACUGUAGCGCCGAAAAUACUUGGGAGUUACCUCCCUGGGAAGAUAGGUCGCCGCCAGAA